rnacentral:rRNA from 1 species
UACGUAGGUGGCAAGCGUUUAUCCGGAAUUACUGGGCGUAAAGCGCACGCAGGCGGUCUUUUAAGUUUGACGUGAAAGCUCUCGGCUUAACUGGGAGAGGUCGUUGAAGACUGGAAGGCUUGAGGCAAUGAGAGGGGUGUAGAAUUCCCGGUGUAGUGGUGGAAUGCGUAGAUAUCGGGGGGGAAUACCAGUGGCGAAAGCGGCACCCUAGCGUUAGCCUGACGCUCAUGUGCGAAAGCGUGGGGGAGCGAACGGG